CCUACGGGCGGCAGCAGUGGGGAAUAUUGGACAAUGGGCGAAAGCCUGAUCCAGCCAUGCCGCGUGUGUGAAGAAGGCCUUCGGGUUGUAAAGCACUUUCAGUGGGGAAGAAAGCCUUGGGGCUAAUACCCUCGAGGAAGGACAUCACCCACAGAAGAAGCACCGGCUAACUCCGUGCCAGCAGCCGCGGUAAUACGGAGGGUGCGAGCGUUAAUCGGAAUUACUGGGCGUAAAGCGCGCGUAGGCGGUCUGAUAAGCCGGUUGGGAAAGCCCCGGGCUCAACCUGGGAACGGCAUCCGGAACUGUCAGGCUAGAGUGCAGGAGAGGAAGGUAGAAUUCCCGGUGUAGCGGUGAAAUGCGUAGAGAUCGGGAGGAAUACCAGUGGCGAAGGCGGCCUUCUGGACUGACACUGACGCUGAGGUGCGAAAGCGUGGGUAGCAAACAGGAUUAGAUACCCUUGUAGUC
rnacentral:rRNA from 1 species